GAAAUGCGAUAAGUAGUGUGAAUUGCAGAAUUCAGUGAAUCAUCGAAUCUUUGAACGCAUAUUGCGCCCCUUGGUAUUCCAUGGGGCAUGCCUGUUCGAGCGUCAUUUGUACCCUCAAGCUCUGCUUGGUGUUGGGUGUUUGUCCCGUCUCCGCGCGUGGACUCGCCCCAAAGUGAUUGGCAGCCGGCGUACUGGUCCCGGAGCGCAGCACAUGUCGCGCAAACGAGUGCCUUGGUACGGCGGCGUCCAUAAGCCCCUCUCUCACGCUCUUGACCUCGGAUCAGGUAUGGAUACCCGCUGAACUUAAGC
rnacentral:misc_RNA from 1 species